AUACGGAGGGGGCUAGCGUUGUUCGGAAUUACUGGGCGUAAAGCGCGCGUAGGCGGACCAGUCAGUCAGGGGUGAAAUCCCGGGGCUCAACCCCGGAACUGCCUUUGGUACUGCUGGUCUUGAGUUCGAGAGAGGUGAGUGGAAUUCCGAGUGUAGAGGUGAAAUUCGUAGAUAUUCGGAGGAACACCAGUGGCGAAGGCGGCUCACUGGCUCGAUACUGACGCUGAGGUGCGAAAGCGUGGGGAGCAAACAGGAUUAGAAACCCUAGUAGUCC
rnacentral:rRNA from 1 species